rnacentral:rRNA from 1 species
UGGAUUCGCUAGUAAUCGCGCAUCAGCCACGGCGCGGUGAAUACGUUCCCGGGCCUUGUACACACCGCCCGUCAAGCCAUGGGAGCCGGGGGUACCUGAAGUGCGUAACCGCGAGGAGCGCCCUAGGGUAAAACUGGUGACUGGGGCUAAGUCGUAACAAGGUAUC